rnacentral:rRNA from 1 species
UACGUAGGGGGCAAGCGUUGUCCGGAAUCAUUGGGCGUAAAGAGCGUGUAGGCGGCUCGAUAAGUCUGCUGUGAAAGUCCAGGGCUCAACCCUGGAAGGCCGGUGGAAACUGUCGGGCUAGAGUCCGGAAGAGGCGAGUGGAAUUCCCGGUGUAGCGGUGAAAUGCGCAGGUAUCAGGAAGAACACCCGUGGCUAAGGCGGUUCUCUAGUACGGUACUGACGCUGAGACGCGAAAGCGUGGGGAGCGAACAGG